rnacentral:tRNA from 1 species
GUAAAAUUAGUUUAGAAAAAACACUGGGUUGUGGAGUCAGAAAAAAAUAAUAUAAUUUAUUUUACU